CUGCUAUCUCUGUUUUUGGUGGCCCCUCCUGGAACUUAGGAUAUGUUACUUUCUGUCAGUACCUCAAGACUGGUGAGGUAAGAAGGGAAGCAAAACUUUACUUCUGCCCUCUUGGAGUCUCAGGUUAGGCCUGAAAAUUCAGUUGUCAUAAGACACAUUAACAAAAGAAAAGCAUACAGAUUUUAUUUUACAUGUACAUGGAAGUUCCCAUAAGAAAAUGAGGACCCAAAGAAGAGGCACAUCCCAAAUGCUUAUAUCGUAGGUUGGACAAAGAGUGGCAAUUCACAGAAGACAACUUUCAAGAAAAGAAGUGAAGCUAGUGCAUAACGUUGACAAAAGCAGAAACAGUGCCUGCUAUGGACUGAAUCGCCCCCGCUAAUUCAUACGUUGAAACUCUAACCCCAAAUGCCACUGUAUUUGGAGAUAAGGCCUUCAAGGAGACAAAGAAGGUUAAAUAAGAUCAUAAGAGUGGGACCCUAAUCUGAUAGGACUGGUGUCCUUAUAAGAAGGGGAAAAUACCAGGCACAGUGGCUCACACCUGUAAUCCCAGCACUUUGGGAGGCUGAGGCUGGAGGAUUGCUUGAGUCCAGGAGUUCAAGACCAGCAUAAGUAACACAGUGAUAUCUUAUCUCUACAAAAAACAAAACAAUUAGCUGGGUGUGGUGGCAUGCUCCUGUAGUCCCCACCACUCAGGAGGCUGAGGCAGCAGGAUCGCUUGAGCCCAGGAAUUUGAGGCUGCAGUGAGCCACGAUCAUGCCACUGCACCCUACACACCAGAGCUCUCUCCUCGCAAACACAGAGAAAAGGGCACGUGAGGACACAGGAAGAAGGUGGUCAUCUGGGAGCCAGAAAGAGGCCUCAGUGGAAACCAACCCUGCAGGCACCUUGAUCCUGGGCUUCCAGACUCCAGAAUUGUGAGAAAUUAAAUUUCUG
rnacentral:lncRNA from 10 species